AGUCGAGCGGUAACAGAUCUAGCUUGCUGGAUGCUGACGAGCGGCGGACGGGUGAGUAAUGCAUAGGAAUCUGCCCGAUAGUGGGGGAUAACCUGGGGAAACCCAGGCUAAUACCGCAUACGUCCUACGGGAGAAAGGGGGCUCCGGCUCCCGCUAUGGGAUGAGCCUAUGUCGGAUUAGCUAGUUGGUGAGGUAACGGCUCACCAAGGCCACGAUCCGUAGCUGGUCUGAGAGGAUGAUCAGCCACAUCGGGACUGAGACACGGCCCGAACUCCUACGGGAGGCAGCAGUGGGGAAUAUUGGACAAUGGGGGAAACCCUGAUCCAGCCAUGCCGCGUGUGUGAAGAAGGCCCUCGGGUUGUAAAGCGCUUUCAGCGAGGAAGAACGCCUAGCGGUUAAUACCCGCUAGGAAAGACAUCACUCGCAGAAGAAGCGCCGGCUAACUCCGUGCCAGCAGCCGCGGUAAUACGGAGGGUGCAAGCGUUAAUCGGAAUUACUGGGCGUAAAGCGCGCGUAGGUGGCUUGAUAAGCCGGUUGUGAAAGCCCCGGGCUCAACCUGGGAACGGCAUCCGGAACUGUCAAGCUAGAGUGCAGGAGAGGAAGGUAGAAUUCCCGGUGUAGCGGUGAAAUGCGUAGAGAUCGGGAGGAAUACCAGUGGCGAAG
rnacentral:rRNA from 1 species